GAUGUCUGGGAAACUGCCUGAUGGAGGGGGGUAACUACUGGAAACGGUAGCUAAUACCGCAUAACGUCGCAAGACCAAAGAGGGGGACCUUCGGGCCUCUUGCCAUCGGAUGUGCCCAGAUGGGAUUAGCUAGUAGGUGGGGUAACGGCUCACCUAGGCGACGAUCCCUAGCUGGUCUGAGAGGAUGACCAGCCACACUGGAACUGAGACACGGUCCAG
rnacentral:rRNA from 1 species